CUAAAUAUUAGGGGUGUAACAAUACACAAAAAUCACAGUUCCAUACGUAACUCGGUUUUGAGGUCAUGGUUUGGUUAAUUUUCGGUACAGUAUGGGAACAAAAUGCAAAACCUAAAAUUUUUUUUUUCCAAAAUUAAACAUU